UACAGAGGUCUCAAGCGUUGUUCGGAUUCAUUGGGCGUAAAGGGUGUGUAGGUGGCGCCGUAAGUCGGGUGGUGAAAUUUCGGAGCUUAACUCCGAAACUGCAUUCGAUACUGCGGUGCUUGAGGACUGGAGAGGAGACUGGAAUUCAUGGUGAGCAGUGAAAUGCGUAGAGAUCAUGAGGAAGACCAGUGGCGAAGGCGGGUCUCUGGACAGUUCCUGACACUGAGACACGAAGGCCAGGGGAGCAAACGGG
rnacentral:rRNA from 1 species